rnacentral:rRNA from 1 species
UUGAUCUCAAAUCAGGUAGGGCUACCCGCUGAACUUAAGCAUAUCA